GACGAACGCUGGCGGCGUGCUUAACACAUGCAAGUCGAACGAUGAAGCCGGAGCUUGCUCUGGUGAAUUAGUGGCGAACGGGUGAGUAACACGUGAGAAACCUGCCCUUGACUCUGGGAUAACGGCGGGAAACUGUAGCUGAUACCGGAUACGACCCUCGGAGGCAUCUCCUGGGGGUGGAAAGAAUUUCGGUCAAGGAUGGACUCGCGGCCUAUCAGCUAGGUGGUGAGGUAAAGGCUCACCAAGGCGACGACGGGUAGCCGGCCUGAGAGGGUGACCGGCCACACUGGGACUGAGACACGGCCCAGACUCCUACGGGAGGCAGCAGUGGGGAAUAUUGCACAAUGGGCGCAAGCCUGAUGCAGCAACGCCGCGUGAGGGAUGACGGCCUUCGGGUUGUAAACCUCUUUUAGCAGGGAAGAAGCGAAAGUGACGGUACCUGCAGAAAAAGCACCGGCUAACUACGUGCCAGCAGCCGCGGUAA
rnacentral:rRNA from 1 species